UAAUUAUGUAUUAUAAACUCAAGAGGGCCUUGAACUGUUGAAGGCAGCUAUAGAAAAGGCUGGAUACACUGGAAAGGUGGUUAUUGGAAUGGAUGUUGCUGCUUCUGAAUUCUUCAGUGAGAAGGAUAAGACUUAUGAUCUUAAUUUCAAGGAGGAAAACAACGAUGGUU